UACGAAGGGUGCAAGCGUUAAUCGGAAUUACUGGGCGUAAAGGGUGCGUAGGCGGUUCGUUAAGUCUGUUGUGAAGUCCCCGGGCUCAACCUGGGAAUGGCAAUGGAUACUGGCGAGCUAGAGUGUGUCAGAGGAUGGUGGAAUUCCCGGUGUAGCGGUGAAAUGCGUAGAGAUCGGGAGGAACAUCAGUGGCGAAGGCGGCCAUCUGGGACAACACUGACGCUGAAGCACGAAAGCGUGGGGAGCAAACAGG
rnacentral:rRNA from 1 species